rnacentral:misc_RNA from 1 species
CAUCAAAUGACUAUUCACCUGAACUUUGCCAGUUGUACUUGUUUUUUGAUUUUAGAUAGUAAAUAAAGAAAGUUAAAACUUUCAAGUAUAGAAUGCUUAAUUCUAUAUUUUAUGUUAUGGGGUGGACAGGGACUGUAAUUUGCAUUCUUAUUUUGGUUAUAAUGGGAGUUGAUGCUUGCACCGUUUGACUGUCGUGAUCAGCACUGUUGCAGUUUGAG